rnacentral:rRNA from 1 species
CAGUAGGGAAUCUUCCACAAUGGGCGAAAGCCUGAUGGAGCAACGCCGCGUGUGUGAUGAAGGGUUUCGGCUCGUAAAACACUGUUGUAAGAGAAGAAUGACAUUGAGAGUAACUGUUCAAUGUGUGACGGUAUCUUACCAGAAAGGAACGGCUAAAUACGUGCAG